rnacentral:snRNA from 1 species
AGAUUGGGUGGCAGGGGAGAUACCAUGAUCACGAAGGUGGUUUUCCCAGGGCAAGGCUUAUCCAUUGCACUCUGGAUGUGCUGACCCCUGCGAUUUCCCCAAAUGUGGGAAACUCGACUGCAUAAUUUGUGGUAGUGGGGGACUGCGUUCGUGCUUUCCCCUG